rnacentral:pre_miRNA from 1 species
GACCCUGUGGGGAGGUUUUUUGUUUUUUUAGCAAAGGUGGAAAUUUAUUGAAGAACAAGGACAGACUCCCACGUGGGGAGG